CAGUCGCCGCGGUAAUACGUAGGGUGCGAGCGUUAAUCGGAAUUACUGGGCGUAAAGCGUGCGCAGGCGGUUCGUUAAGACAGAUGUGAAAUCCCCGGGCUUAACCUGGGAACUGCAUUUGUGACUGGCGAGCUAGAGUAUGGCAGAGGGGGGUAGAAUUCCACGUGUAGCAGUGAAAUGCGUAGAGAUGUGGAGGGAUACCGAUGGCGAAGGCAGCCCCCUGGGCCAAUACUGACGCUCAUGCACGAAAGCGUGGGGAGCAAACAGGAUUAGAUACCCGCGUAGUCCCUGUCUCUUAUAC
rnacentral:rRNA from 1 species